rnacentral:rRNA from 1 species
GAUGAACGCUGGCGGCGUGCCUAAUACAUGCAAGUCGAGCGAAUGGAUUAAGAGCUUGCUCUUAUGAAGUUAGCGGCGGACGGGUGAGUAACACGUGGGUAACCUGCCCAUAAGACUGGGAUAACUCCGGGAAACCGGGGCUAAUACCGGAUAACAUUUUGAACCGCAUGGUUCGAAAUUGAAAGGCGGCUUCGGCUGUCACUUAUGGAUGGACCCGCGUCGCAUUAGCUAGUUGGCGAGGAAACGGCUCACCAAGGCAACGAAGCGUAGCCGACCUGAGAGGGUGAUCGGCCACACUGGGACUGAGACACGGCCCAGACUCCUACGGGAGGCAGCAGUAGGGAAUCUUCCGCAAUGGACGAAAGUCUGACGGAGCAACGCCGCGUGAGUGAUGAAGGCUUUCGGGUCGUAAAACUCUGUUGUUAGGGAAGAACAAGUGCUAGUUGAAUAAGCUGGCACCUUGACGGUACCUAACCAGAAAGCCACGGCUAACUACGUGCCAGCAGCCGCCGUAA